rnacentral:rRNA from 1 species
GUGAGGAAUUUUCCGCAAUGGGCGAAAGCCUGACGGAGCAAUGCCGCGUGAAGGAUGAAGGCCUAUGGGUUGUAAACUUCUUUUCUCAGAAAAGAAUUAUGACGGUAUCUGAGGAAUAAGCAUCGGCUAACUCUGUGCCAGCAGCCGCGGUAAGACAGAGGAUGCAAGCGUUAUCCGGAAUGAUUGGGCGUAAAGCGUCUGUAGGUUGUUUAAAAAGUAUUCUGUCAAAGAUUAGGGCUUAACCCUAGAUAGGCAGAAUAAACUUUUAAGCGAAAGUUUGGUAGAGGCAGAGGGAAUUCCCGGUGGAGCGGUGAAAUGCGUAGAUAUCGGGAGGAACACAAAAGGGGAAGGCACUCUGCUGGGCCAAUACUAACACUGAGAGACGAAAGCGAGGGGAGCAAAUGGGAUUAGAAACCCUUGUAGUCC